rnacentral:rRNA from 1 species
UACAGAGGUCCCGAGCGUUGUUCGGAUUCACUGGGCGUAAAGGGUGCGCAGGUGGGUUUGCAAGUUCGAUGUGAAAGCCCCGGGCUUAACCCGGGAAUGGCAUUGAAUACUGUCGAGCUGGAGGUUUGGAGGGGGGACUGGAAUUCUUGGUGUAGCAGUGAAAUGCGUAGAUAUCAAGAGGAACACCAGUGGCGAAGGCGAGUCCCUGGACAACACCUGACACUGAGGCACGAAAGCUAGGGGAGCAAACAGG